rnacentral:rRNA from 1 species
GACGAACGCUGGCGGCGUGCUUAACACAUGCAAGUCGAACGGAAAGGCCCUGCUUUUGUGGGGUGCUCGAGUGGCGAACGGGUGAGUAACACGUGAGUAACCUGCCCUUGACUUUGGGAUAACUUCAGGAAACUGGGGCUAAUACCGGAUAGGAGCUCCUGCUGCAUGGUGGGGAUGGAAAGUUUCGGCGGUUGGGGAUGGACUUGCGGCUUAUCAGCUUGCUUGUGGGGUAGUGGCUUACCAAGGCUUUGACGGGUAGCCGGCCUGAGAGGGUGACCGGCCACAUUGGGACUGAGAUACGGCCCAGACUCCUACGGGAGGCAGCAGUGGGGAAUAUUGCACAAUGGGCGGAAGCCUGAUGCAGCAACGCCGCGUGCGGGAUGACGGCCUUCGGGUUGUAAACCGCUUUCGCCUGUGACGAAGCGUGAGUGACGGUAAUGGGUAAAGAAGCACCGGCUAACUACGUG